rnacentral:rRNA from 1 species
AUUGAACGCUGGCGGAAUGCUUUACACAUGCAAGUCGAACGGCAGCACGGGUGCUUGCACCUGGUGGCGAGUGGCGAACGGGUGAGUAAUGCACCGGAACGUAUCCAAUAAUGGGGGAUAACGCACCGAAAGGUGUGCUAAUACCGCAUACGCCCUGAGGGGGAAAGCGGGGGAUCGUAAGACCUCGCGUUAAUGGAGCGGCCGAUGCCGGAUUAGCUAGUUGGUGAGGUAAAGGCUCACCAAGGCGACGAUCCGUAGCUGGUCUGAGAGGACGACCAGCCACACUGGAACUGAGACACGGUCCAGACUCCUACGGGAGGCAGCAGUGGGGAAUUUUGGACAAUGGGCGCAAGCCUGAUCCAGCCAUUCCGCGUGCAGGAUGAAGGCCUUCGGUUGUAAACUGCUUUGUACGGUAACGAAACGGUGAGCUCUAAUAC